GACGAACCGUGCGAACGUUGUUCGGAAUCACUGGGCAUAAAGGGCGCGUAGGCGGCUUUUCAAGUCAGGGGUGAAAUCCGGCAGCUCAACUGUCGAAGUGCCCUUGAUACUGAUGAGCUCGAGGGAGGUAGGGGUGUGUGGAACUUCCGGUGGAGCGGUGAAAUGCGUUGAUAUCGGAAGGAACGCCGGUGGCGAAGCGACGCACUGGACCUCUUCUGACGCUGAGGCGCGAAAGCUAGGGGAGCAAACGGG
rnacentral:rRNA from 1 species